AAUGCAGGCUCCAUCACGCUUUGCCUCUCUGGCCAAUGCCUACUCCCUCCCCCCGGCAUGAAGCCCAUGCAAUUUUCACCUCAGUCAUACUAAGCAAUGUGUGGUUUUCCAAACACUGAGCUCUCUCUUGCCUUGGGGCCUUUGUCUAUGCUGUCCUCGCCUCCUCCCUCCCCUUCAAACUCCUCCUUACCUUUUAAGUCUCCGCUCUAGAACCAUCUCCUCUCAGGGAAGGAUUCUCAGUCUCCCAGGUGGACCAGGUACCUCACUUGUUGCCCCAUUGGAACUUCUGUGUUUCCACCUAGGGUAUCUCAAGGCAAGUCAGGAUCACUGGGCUUCCUGACGGCCUCUCCAGUUGUAGGUCAAGUCCUUGUAGUCAGGGCCAUAUUUUUUUGAUUACUGCACCCUAAUACCUAACACAGGACUGACUCCCAAAUAGGCGAUUUAAAUGUCACAGGGUUGAGACGAGAGUGAGGUGAGUGAGCCACCCAGGGUGCAGAAAUUUAAGGAGAUGCUCUCAAGGUUGUACAAGGCAGGCUGGCAUGAAUUGUUAUAAGGGGAUUUUCACCCCUGCUCUUUUGCUUGUCAGGUCACAGCAAGUCCUGGGUGGCUGAAAGGGCAUCAGCGAUUUGAGAGGCUGUGCUUUUCUGGAAGACCUCGACCUCCAGCUUCAUGCAAAGUGGAAAAGCAUCUUCCCUUUCACCAGAAUUUAUAUGGAAAUUGCCAACUUCUUGCAUGUAGGGUAAGAAAGGGAAGAUGUAUCCCUACUUAAAUGCACUAUCAUGAACUCCUGAGCUGAUGGCUUCUACACUUAGCUAACAUGGACUCUGAAUAUUGUCUUUGUCUACCAUGGAAGACAUUUCUACCAUAGGUAUUGCUAUAUUCAAGAGCUAUCCACCUAGCGUUCUGUAAUAUGAAAAGAUAGUUUCUAAAAGGGACCGUUAACAGCCUCUUGAAAGGAGAGGAAAAUACCACCAAAACUCUGAGGCACUACCAGGGACAUCACAUAAAACCACUCAGAUUCCUUACCAUACAUCUCCAGGGAGCACCUUCCUAUAGGUUGCAGUGUCAAUUGCGCCCCUGGAUUUGUGCAAUGUGGUGGCCAUUUCCCCAUGAUCCCUCAGCUAUACAUGAACUCAGCCCAGCUUCCCUGGCGCUAAACUCAAAACACUCAAAAACAUCCUUAUCAGCAUCCACAGUGAAUGAGAAAGGGGAACAAACUCAGUGCUGGUGAGCUGGCUUCAGGCACCACCAAAUGGUGAGCUUCUCUCACUUUCCAACUCGAUGACCUUAAGCCAAAUCUCCUUAAUUUUCUCUUCUAUGAAUGUGAGGCUCCAUGUUGGGCUCACAAAAGCACAUUCUCCUGGGAGGUACCUGCAGAGGUAAGGAUGGGCAGCCCCUCUAAAGUAGGCUAGGUGGAGGGAAACUCUUGCCUCACGGGAGGCAGAAGGAAAUUAUGAAGGCUAACAAAUGCAUCAGAGAACCUGGGCACCUUAGGUUCAUUUACUCCAAUCUGUUCAGUUUUCAGACACAGGAACUGGAUGGAGAAAUGAAGAGAGUCCUGCCCAAUAUCAUUGAAUGAAUUAGCAGCAAAGAAGGGCCCUAUUUUGCCAGGCCAGGGCUUAUUCAGACAUGCAGCUGCUUUAGUGAUAAAGUGGGUCUGGCUGACAGCUUUUGUAGAUCUUUAUUCAGAAUCAGCUGGAAAAAUUAGUCCCUGCUCGUUGAAGAUCCUCCCAUUCCCAGGGUGAAGACUCCCUCCUUCUUAAUAGAGGCCAAGAGACAAGGAAUGAAGCACCCUGUGUUGGCAUCUACCUGAACUACUGGCAUAGAGCCCAGGAAGAGAUGCAUACCUUCUGGAGCCAAGCUUCCCUAAGUGAGCUCCAGGGGCCAAUUGCACUGGAAACUCCCUGGGGCUUAUUAAGAUCUGGAUUUCACAGAUGCACCCCAGAUCUACUAAAUUAGAGCCUAGGGGUGGGAGGAUACCAUUAGCAAGCACCACAUGGGAUUUUGACACACAAUAAAAUUUGAGAACCAACACCCAGACAUAGUGGUAAGAAGGAACAUAAUGGCUGUCAGAUAACUACUAAAGCACUGUGCUAGGCACCAGAUAGAUAGACAGACAGACAGAUAGAUAGACAUCCUUAGAAGUGAUAGGAAAGGCAGAAACAAGACAUUAUUUCUUUGCCACACUUAGAGAAGCUCUGCACCAGAGGAUAUGCCUCUCCUCCUUGGUUCUAUGCCAGCAAUUCAGGUAGAUGCCAUCAGAUGGUGCUGGAAAGAGCUUUCCCCAGGGACAGGAAAUUAGGACAAUGUUCUUGGGACCUUGGGUCAUUGGAUAGUGCUGAGAAUGGCAUCUAGGACCCACUACCUGAAAAUCCUUCUCAAAGGGAGGGAAUGCAUCCUCAAACUUUCACCUGAGUUCCUACUCUCAGCCUUUAAGGCUCUGCCCAGAAUUUCACUAAUUAGAAUUUGCUGUAUCUUUUCCCACCUAAAUUUUACUUUCUCUUCUCAAAACUUUUUGUGUCUUAACACUCCUGCUACAUUGUUGGCUCUGCCACUUACUGGUAAUAUGACCUCUGAUAACUUGUUUAUAAGCCUCAGUAUUUUUAUAUAUAAAUUGGAGAUAAUAGCUUCAGAGUAGAAGCAAGUAUUAGAGAUACUGUAAGAGUGCAAUAAAUGUUCAGUCUCUGCCCUACUUAACCCCACUUUCAGAAGCCUUUGUUUAAGAAACCCCAGUGGCUUUCUGGUCUCAUUUGCUUCUCCACGACCCAAACUCUCUCAAUUUAAGUUCUCAUCACACCUCAUUCAUGUCUGCCUCUGGGCCUUUCCUCAUGCUGUAUCUUCUACCUAGGAUGCCCUCAUACUCUCAUUCACCAAUACAAAUCCCAGCAUGCUUAAAGGUCUUUCUCAGGUCCUUCCUGCUGCCUUAGAGUGCCUUCUCAAAGUCCAGGCCAACAGACUCUUCUGUCCCUUCUGCUCCUUCAGGCACUCUCCCUGCAUUCUCCACUCUACCUCCGGGGGAUGACAACAUUAGUGUCAUGGAAGUUGGUGAUCUCUAGAUACUGGUAUGUUAUGUACAGAAUAUUUCCCUUUUUUGAGGACCAGCAUCAAGCUACCACCUUUUAUUUUGCCAGGUGAGAAUAUAUUAUUAAAUCUUGUCUUCUAGUGUUACCCUCAUAUCACAAAACAAUGACAUUUUAACAAAAUAAAAGUUAUGAGGGAAAAAAAAUCUCAUACAAAAGCAUUGUCCUUUAAAUGGAAUAAACUCCACUUCAUAAAAUGCUCACUGCAUUGCCUGCUUUUUGCUCCUUUUGCCUUGGACUGAUAAGAAUACUAUCAAAGGCCAGCUUCUGCAAAAAUGCGGGGGAGUCCCCAGUCCACUCAAUCACCUGUCCCUGACCCUGGGCAACAUACAACAUCCCCAACAGCUUUCACUUACUGAACAGUUGCCAUGUGCUAGAUCCUGUGCUAGGUACUUCAUGCAUUAGCUCACUAAAUCCUUUUGCACAACCCCUU